UCGAACGCUUCUUUCCUCCCGAGUGCUUGCACUCAAUUGGAAAGAGGAGUGGCGGACGGGUGAGUAACACGUGGGUAACCUACCCAUCAGAGGGGGAUAACACUUGGAAACAGGUGCUAAUACCGCAUAACAGUUUAUGCCGCAUGGCAUAAGAGUGAAAGGCGCUUUCGGGUGUCGUUGAUGGAUGGACCCGCGGUGCAUUAGCUAGUUGGUGAGGUAACGGCUCACCAAGGCCACGAUGCAUAGCCGACCUGAGAGGGUGAUCGGCCACACUGGGACUGAGACACGGCCCAGACUCCUACGGGAGGCAGCAGUAGGGAAUCUUCGGCAAUGGACGAAAGUCUGACCGAGCAACGCCGCGUGAGUGAAGAAGGUUUUCGGAUCGUAAAACUCUGUUGUUAGAGAAGAACAAGGACGUUAGUAACUGAACGUCCCCUGACGGUAUCUAACCAGAAAGCCACGGCUAACUACGUGCCAGCAGCCGCGGUAAUACGUAGGUGGCAAGCGUUGUCCGGAUUUAUUGGGCGUAAAGCGAGCGCAGGCGGUUUCUUAAGUCUGAUGUGAAAGCCCCCGGCUCAACCGGGGAGGGUCAUUGGAAACUGGGAGACUUGAGUGCAGAAGAGGAGAGUGGAAUUCCAUGUGUAGCGGUGAAAUGCGUAGAUAUAUGGAGGAACACCAGUGGCGAAGGCGGCUCU
rnacentral:rRNA from 1 species